UACGUUUUAAGUGUGGCAUUUUAUUACCUUGGCAAUUACAUAUUCUUCUGGUAAGCUUAAGAUAUAAUGUAGUAAAGAAUUUAGAUCGGGUGCUAAUUCAAAUAUUAUUUUUAAUGUACAUUUCGCAACACAGUUGGUACCUGAUGAAAUUAAAUAUUUAAUUAUUGUGGAAGUAAGGCAUCAAAAACUUAAUACUUAGAAAAGUAAGUACAGAAAACGUGAAGCAAUUUUUAAUUCAUAAAUAAUUGAAGAAAUAACAUUUCAAAAAAGUGCAUGCUGAUUUUGUAAUGCAUUAAAUAGAAAUGAUUGCUUUUUUUAAAACUAACAUUGCAAAGGGAAAAAGAUCUACACAAAUUAACAUUUUUCUAUUUGGGUUUUAAUUUAUUAGUUUGAAUAAAAAAAUAGUAAAGUAAUCGCGAAUUUCCGAAUGAUUGUUCAAUAACUAGAAAAAAAAUUAAUUUCAAUUAAUAUAAAAUAAUAUGACAAGGAAAGAAUUAUAUAAGGAAAGAAAGAAAAUACAAAUGGGAAAGUAGUUUGAAUUCGAAAAUUUAAAAUGGCGAUACGCGCUCCGAUUCCGCCAUCUUAUAUUUGUCUGUCGUUAUUAACACAUGGCUUAGGCAUGCAUGAUAUAUUUAUAGUGAAGUUCGGUUGUGAGUAUAAAAAAGUGGAUUAUUUUAAUGACCAUGAAGGAUAAAUAUUACGAAUCAUUUACACAAAAUUGAAACACAAAUUGGAAUUUGUGAAACUAAAGCGAGUGAAGUGCGUGACUUAAUCAAUAUAUAGCGGAGAAGAAAAAAAGGUUCAUAGACACGUAAACACUUACUAAGGUUAUGUGCAGUUGCGGUCAAUAAUGUGUAACGCCGAAUUUGCAUCAACAAGUUUGAACUUGUCAAUAAAUACCGGGUCACUGAGAUAAAGAUAAAUGAAAAAAUUUAUUUUAAACGAAAAGAUGGAAAAAUAAUAUCUUAAUUCAUAUUAUAAGAAAUUAACCGACUGGAUGUGAGAACAUAUUGCGGAAAAGAAACUGAAUUCUCAUCUAUUUGUAUAUAUAAAAUGGUAGAAUAAGAAAAUUGCCAAGAGUUUUUAGGAAACUAAAAAUUGAUCGUGGCUGAAAUACCGAAACCAAUACUGGGAAUAGAUUUUGUAAUUUAACAGAGAGUAAUUCAAAAAACUAUAAAUUUUCAAUUUUGACUAUUGACAUUUCACAUUCGCCAGCAGUUUUUAGGAAACUAAAAACGAAUGAUGGUUUGAAUUCCAAAUUAAAUACUUGGAAUUUAUUUGAAACAUUAGCAGAGGCUAAAUCUAAAAAUUGUUUAUUAUUAUUAUUUACAUAUUUUCGUUGAAAAUUCGCCAGCAGUUUUUAGGAAACUAAAAACGAAUGCUGGUUUAUUUUCCAAAUAAAAUACUUGGAAUUUAU